rnacentral:rRNA from 1 species
GAAAGCUUGCUUUCUUGCUGACGAGUGGCGGACGGGUGAGUAAUGCUUGGGAAUCUGGCUUAUGGAGGGGGAUAACGACGGGAAACUGUCGCUAAUACCGCGUAUUAUCGGAAGAUGAAAGUGCGGGACUGAGAGGCCGCAUGCCAUAGGAUGAGCCCAAGUGGGAUUAGGUAGUUGGUGGGGUAAAUGCCUACCAAGCCUGCGAUCUCUAGCUGGUCUGAGAGGAUGACCAGCCACACUGGAACUGAGACACGGUCCAGACUCCUACGGGAGGCAGCAGUGGGGAAUAUUGCGCAAUGGGGGGAACCCUGACGCAGCCAUGCCGCGUGAAUGAAGAAGGCCUUCGGGUUGUAAAGUUCUUUCGGUAUUGAGGAAGGUUGAUGUGUUAAUAGCACAUCAAAUUGACU